UUCAAUGCUUUUUAUUUCUUUAAUCACCCUAUAUUUCUUAUUGCAACAAUAUACUCAGAAAUCCUAAUUAGAUGUCAAUAAAACGCAACUUUAAACUAUUUCUGCAGCUCUACAUUGCUGAUGCUAAAACUUAAAACCAUACUACAAAAUCAGGAUAGCAUCAGAAACUGCAUUUUCAGAUACUUCUUAGAUAGAAGAUACCCAAUCUUCCAUUAUUUACGCCAAGUGUUAAGUUAUUCUGUAUCUUAAGUUUACUAGUGAAAAUCACCAGAGAAUUAGGACACAAGAACAACUCAGGAGUCAGGAUCACUCUUUGUAGCAAACAACUCCGGGUCAUAAACUUUUUUUACUUAAUCUGUUGUGUGUAUAUAUUCUAACUUACAAAAUUUAUAUUUUCAAAGAGACUCAAUAAAUGCAUUUAUUGAUAUAUCCAACAAAGGCCCCUUAAAAAAAUAAUUUUCAAUGUUUAAAUGUUGAUAUAUUCCAAGGGUGAUUCAUUAUAUUUAUUAAUUGGACCAUUAAUUUAAAGCGGGAGUAAUCAUUCAAGCACAAAUGGAUAGUUAAACCAAUGUAAUCACACUUUUGCAUGCCUAAUAACUUCCUUCACUCUGUGAAACCUCUCUGGUGGAACAGAAAAAGAGGAAAUUAAUACAAACACUGCACAUUGAGAAACCUGUCAAUAUUGUGAUAGCUAUCUCAUCAGGAUCCAAAAUAGAUAAAUAAUAACUGAACAUCUGAACAAUUCAAAG
rnacentral:misc_RNA from 1 species